CAUCGCCACUCAUCAUCGCACGUCCUAUCGUCUCAACUCUCCUCUCUCUUCGCCCUUUCUGCUCCUUAAAAGCACUUGUCACCCUCCAUUGCCGCGAUCUUAAGCUCCCGAUCUCUCCGAGAGGGGCUGCGGAGCGAGCUUCUCGCGCCGAAGCAUGUUGAUCUCUCGGAACUCCUUCUAGCUCAUCUUGCCUUCCAUGAUCAAAGUUAUAUUCGUCCCGUCGAAGAGGGAGAUCUCUUCAACCAUCUAAAGAAGAUGAACCGGUUGUUCUCUCUUUUGCAGCAAUUGUUCGAUGCUCGUGUUCGAUCAAAUUCGCGCGUCACCGGCACGGUUGCGACGUGCGAUUACUUGACAGGUCAGUGUUUAUAAUUGUGAAUGCUGGUGCGCCUCCUCUGCUUUUGCAUGCGGUCUGAUGCAGUUCGAUCCGAUAGAUCAUUGGAGGUAUGGCACUUCCCCGCUUAUAUGGUUUGUCUCUCUCUCCGACCGAAGCAGCUAACAUCAAUAUGUUCUUUUUCCAUGAGUCUCGUGAUAUAGUUGGUACCCAUUGGCAUGUCCUUACAUAUGAUACCAUGUGUGCACCGGGAAAUAGAGCAAACCAAAUUCACGGGUGUUCCCAGAACAUGUAAAGCCCAACUCACGCAUUGCUAGAUAAGAUGCGCCCACAUGUUUUAUUCAUGCAUGUAAGCCGAAGCAUGCAGUACUUGCUUCCUAGCUAUGUACAUACCUACUUUACCUUCUGGUAUCCUCUAGGCUUUCUAUACAAGGCUUGUCCUCUUGCCAUUUGAAUAUAAAAGGCAAGAUGGAUCAUAGUAACACUCCUUGGCAUUAAACAGACAUUGGGGACAACAUGGAUCUGCCCGGUGUUGAUGGCGGACAUCUAUGCAAUAUACCCCUAGUUGAUACCUUUGCCUCGGACGAGUCUGGAGUCUGUCCUGCUGAAAGAAGGCAUGUUGACUUAUGUCUUACAUGUACCCUCCUGUACUAAGGGGAUUUCCGUUCUCAAUUCUGCUAACUGGUCACUGACUCUUACUGUCCUGGUUGAUGUGAAGUUCAGUGAGAAUGUCUUAUUAGUCCACGUUACCGUUUCAUUGUGCCCACAAUAGAUAAUAAAGCAAAGAGAGUGUGUCAACUAGGUCAUAAAGUCCAUAAAGACGACAAGGUUUGAUCCUGCAUGAUAACUGUACUAAGCCAAGAUCAUAUUCGAUCACAAGUGGAUCGCAGCAGGUCAAGGUAGAUUCUGUCAGUAACUGCACAACCAUUUUCUGCCACUAUCGGAGUAAGUGGAGAGUAGCCAGUCGAGGAUGAUGCACUGUCGUGUUCAUUUCGGUAAUCCCCAGGGGAACCUUAUUGACAUUAUCAUCGUAGCUCACCAGGGAAGCAAUCUGCAAGCCAUGAACAGCAUUAAGGUCUUUGCAAAGAUCCUGCAAAACCACUCGCUUGUUGUGAAGCAAGUCCAAGAGUCAUCUUACCUCCUUCUUCAGAGACUCACGCUCCUCUCUCAUCAUCUUUUCCUGUUCAGAAGAUUAGAUCAGAAUAUUCACAAGUAUCUGUCAAAAAUCAUGUUUCUUGCAUUCUGUGGGUUUACAUGGCAAAGAAACGCAUAAAUCAGGUUUGUGAAGAGCAAUGCUUCAAUUCUUGUCCCUCCCUGAAUUAAUAGUUUAACUCCACUUUAAAGCCAGUGGCACCCCAUGUAAACUUCAUCAGGCUGCUUUCUCAAGUGACAGUAGAUGCAACUUGCUCUCUGUUUCUAUAGCAGUUCUUCCUAGCACAUCCUCUGUUCUUAUUUUAUUAGUUCAGGGUUAACUUGCUAGUUGUGUUUUAACUGGCCUAUUUUCCUUCCUGCUGGACCCUUAACUCGAAUAGUUGAAUCCAUCAGCAAAUAUUUCUAUUCGAUUAAAGCUCUUUAGAAAAAGUAAAAUCAAACACCCAGAGUUGUUAAGAUGAAAUUCUCAAACUCCUUUUCUCAUCCACAUACUCUUGAAAGUUGCUAGUGACUUUCUCUGUGAACCCUGGGAAAUCAAGGCCCGCUAGCUGGACGAGCAUAUCAUAUCUGUUCUGGAAUGCUGAAUAACGUUUUUCAAGGUACUGACUACACAAGGGUAAAGGAAAUGAAGAAUCUAUGUUUAUUAAAGACCCACUUCGUAGCUCUGAAAAAAAAACAACAAAAUGGCAAUGAAGAAGCCAAAGUCAUGUUUCUCCAGAUUCUAAAACUGCCAAUUCUGUUUUUAAAAGUGUGCACACACAUUCUUCUGCUCCGUCUUUGUGGAACUAGGCCCCUGGAUGUCUAUAUUGUGAUGGAAAUUCCAGUCCGACUAAGGUAAACAGGAACAAUAUUGCUGAUCAGUGAAGUAUUGACUGGUAAUCAACAGCGUCUCUAAUGGGUUUAUACCAGGUAGUGGACAACUGGAAAUGUGAAAAUUUGUGUGAGACAGAACAGCUGCAGCACGGAGAUUAUCUGGGGGAAUAUUGGUGCAAAUGGGUAUAAGUGUUGCGAAAACCCAUUAUGGACAGGUCGGUAGUUUUACUAUGAUUUGUGGCUGUGAAACAAAUUACUCAGUCCAUUGUUGGCAAGUAUCAUAAUAAUUCAGUACACGCUGUAGCAUAGACGCAGAGAUUAAAUGCUACUUAUCAGCGGCGUACAUGUUGUAAUUCUAAUCCAAGAAAUAAGAGACUGUUUCAUACC